rfam:Cavia porcellus supercont2_59 genomic scaffold, whole genome shotgun sequence.
GGGGAUUUAGCUCAGCGGCAUAAGCGCCUGCCUUGCAAGCAGGCAGUCGUGAGUUCCAUCCCCG